CUGGAGCCCCAUAUGAGGUUUUAAUGAGUUAGAUUCAAUUACUUAAUUUAAAUAUUAAUGAAUAACUAAAGAAAUAAUUAUUAAUUAUUUCUGAUAGUAACACUGAUCUAAACAACCAGUAAAGCCUUACACUGUGUUAUGCCUAAAAAUGUUUGAUGUUCAAUUGCUUUGGUCUUGAGAGUGUGUGCAGAAGUGAACAUUGAGAUUAAGAGUGAAUGCCAUCACUGUGUCCAUCAUCUCUUUUAUACAGACUACUUGAUAUAGCUAGUCAGAAGUACGUGAUAUUAGGUGGUAUGUUCUCAUUCUAAAAAGCCUUUUAUUUAAAAAUGAUUUUGUGUGUGCAAGAUGCAUUAUCAAUAUUUUUGGUCCGUUUUUCUAUAAGAAAAAGACAUCAAAUUUGAAAUGCAUGUUUCUGCUAAAAUAUAUUUUCUCUAGGAGUACACUAGCAUAUAAAUGACCUCAAAGCUAACAGAUAAGAACUAAAAGCCCAAAAAACUCCCCAAAAAAAUUGAUUAUAUGGGCUGUUAGGGAGAAUACCUGGGAAAAUUCCACUGACCCUCAGGAGUCAUAAAGAUUAUCAUAUGUCCUCUGUAUAUGGUUCAUUUUAAGUGUGUGACAUUGAAUAAGAUUCAUCAUGCAAACUGAACAUCGCAUUUCAAGAAAUGCUAGAUCUCAUUUUAUACUUAAAUGAUUGAGAUAUUCAGCAGCCUCCCUCUUAGCAGAAUUAGUCUAGGCCAUGAAGAAGACUUUUUCCUGUGCUGCUAGUUCUGAUUACUUUUGUCAGCAUUAGAUCUGAGUGUAAUCUAGCGGCCAUGUGCACCAUGAGACCAUGAGCAUAAUACAAAGACAUCACUCUAGAACCCCAUCGGCCCUCCUCUUGUGUCAGCACUUGAGAUCUCAAUCUGCAACUUAAAGGGUCCUUCUCUUGCUUUCUUUGUGUCUAGCCAGAGAGGUUACAUCAAGAGGGAGAAGGAUACGGAGGGGGAGAAAAGGAUUGUUGUAUUUGAGAGGGAGAUGAAGAGAAAAAUACAUAGAACAAGGGAGAUAGGUGGAGAAAGGAUACAGAGAUGGGGGGUUAGUGUAUGUGUAUGCAUGCACAUAUGUGUGUCACUAUGUGUGUGUUCUUCUAUGUGCCCCCUGGGGACCAGAUCCUGUCAUAGAGAUCACAACAGACUGUCAUGCACACAGCCAGAAGUUGGAGAUCUCCACUCACUGUUGAGUUCCCGCACCGGGUGGCCAGAUGCAAACUUUGGUCAAAUAUAAAGGGAAGAUGGAAGUAUGGUUGAUUUAUUAAACUUGCACUCACCUGUUUCAUAAGCCAUGUUUCAUAUUGCAUUAUUUGUGAUAGGCAAAUAUCAAAAGAUUAUGACAGGUGUGGCGUGAUUCAGAAAACAACCCUUAAUCAAAUCUGUUCACUCUCCGAAAUAGGCUCUUUAGGCCAUUAGUCUGAUCCAGUAAAGAGGAAAGAGUGAGAACCUGGGCGUCUUCCAGAAAACAACUUUCCCUAAAUUCAAGUGGAGAACAGAAGAUUCCAGUUUCCCCAAGUUUGGUUUCUGCAGUGGACCUAAGCAUCACAAAGUCAUCAAUUUUACAGAUGUAACCAAUGCAGAUGUUGUACUGCUAACCUCAAAGAGAAGAUCUGUGUUUGAUAUGCUCAUAGGAAGACAGAAGGCAGAUUUACAUCCUUGCAUUAAUGCAUGCAGGGUGCAUGUGUAUUAAAUAUGUUACUAACCUCAGAGUUUACAUUAGUUGCAUAAUUUAAUAUCCAGUUAUGGGUGUGCAUUGGUGUACAUGAUGUAAAGACUUCAUAAUUCAAAUACAAUUUGUAAUGUUCAAAACUUGCAUUGCAUUAUACAACCAAUUUGAAUAAUUUUAAAUUAAUUACAAUUGCACUGGAAAUGUCUCCACCAACUCUGCAACCCAGUAUUGUUUUAAAAUUGUAAGUUGUAGAGGACAUUUUUUGUUGAAAACUCAUUUCAUCUCAGUCGAAAUGACAAUAUGUUGCCUUUGCUGUGCAUUCCACAAUUGAGCCAAAACACUUUCAAACACACACACCUUUUUCCUUAACAAAUCAAAUUCCUUUAUAACAAGCCAUGUCCACUUGUCUAAUGAUCAACUCCUUCCAUAUUCUGAAGGUUUGAAUUAGGUUGAGAGAGAGUACCAGUCAAUGACUUCUCAGUUUGAAAUUAACUCUGUAAGGUCAUGAAACAGGAUGAAGGGGAAAUUGUGAUGACAAUCAAAGAUCCCAGCACUCCAUAGCUUGGCCUGCUGCAGGGGAGGGCCACACUCCAAACCUCUGACUCCUUUGGGAGAUAACCGGGAUUCUCCAGGCCUUCCCAAACCUGGCAGCUUCCCGUAGACACCUCUCUUCUCUUCUCCUUCCCUGAUGUUAUCAGGGGCCAGGACCCACUGUGGCCCUUUGUGGCUCACAGCCCCAGUUUCCGUCCGCACACGUGUGUGUCACAUUAUCUGUCAAGAGGCCAGACGCCAUUUCCUGCAUAUUGUAAGGGGUGGGUAGGGGACAGGAAAGGAAAAGAACAUACAGACUGACAUCCAGGGAGGGACCAAAAGAGAGAUGUGAAAUGUUUCUCAGCCCGGGAUUUAGUUUCAAAAAUUGGCUCCCAUGGACAUUUUGUUUUAAAGGCUUCAUGGUACAGUACAAUUCAUGCAGGUUUUAAUUACCCGUUUGUGAGCAGAAUUCAUACUGAGGUCAGAGACUGAAGUUGGUAGA